rnacentral:rRNA from 1 species
GACGAACGCUGGCGGCGUGGAUUAGGCAUGCAAGUCGAACGGUAUAAACCUUUCGGGUUUAGAGAGUGGCGAACGGGUGAGUAACACGUAGGUAAUCUACCCUCAAACGGGACGAACCCAGGGAAACUUGGGCUAAUACCGGAUGCGUGCAAGCAAUGUUUUGGCUGUUAAUGCUAUUCACGGAAGUGAGUAGUGUUAAGUGGUUGAGAGCAUUAUUUGCAUAAAAGGUGGCAUAUGCUGCCGUUUGAGGAUGAGCCUGCGUCCUAUUAGUUAGUUGGUGAGGUAAUGGCUUACCAAGGCGAUGAUAGGUAGGCGGCCUUAACGGGUGUCGCCCACACUGGGAUUGAGAGACGGGCCCAGACUCCUACGGGGAGGCAGCAGUCGAGAAUAGUCUACAAUGGACGGAAGUCUGAUAGUGCGACGCCGCGUGAACGGAAGAAUCCCUUCGGGGUUAAAGUUCUUUAUACGUGAGCAGUGCCCUUUAAUGAAUAGUAUAGAGGGAGGGAUUUAAGCGU